CAUUCCGAGAAACCAUCUCCAGUCAAUCGAGCCCCUCGAUGAUCUCUCACAACGCACUUGCUCAAUUAUGUUGAAUUAAUUGUUCCGGUGAUGUGGAAAUAACACUAAGAAGCUAGUUUAUAUGGACUUAAUUGCUUUGUGAUUGAAGAAUAACGUACUGAUUUUCCACAGGGGGAAACGUGACAAAGGGAAGGCCUUCAGGUAUUGUUUUGGCAAGCUAGGAGAACACAUCUGACAGACAAAAAGGUUUCAUCAAAGACACACAGACAGCUCCUGAAGUAAAGGACCUACACAGGACCUUCAUAUCAAGGACAUUGACUGUGUGGAUCUCGAGGUGCAGUUACCCAAAAGUUGCUACCCACGGAAUACCAGGUUUUGAGGGAUCCUGCCAGAGCAGAGAAUCAACAGAUACAUUGAAGAGGAGACUCCGACAUGACCGCCGGCAUCUUGUGUUAUUCACCCCCACCACUUGUAAUACUGAAUGCCUGAAUUGUUGUUUGCUGCUCAGACUUUGUCAACAGAUAUGGUCUUCGACAUGUUACCCUUAGGUGUGGAAACAGAUUGUGACAGUCCAGCAAAAUGAGCCAGACAGAUAGUAACACUGAAAAAGGACAACGUUGUUCCCAUGGCCUCCCACUGCAGAAGACUACAGACGUUCAGUGAAGCACAAACAGCUGUUCCUCUUGUACUUAAUAAUUUAGUCAGCUGGAUUCUAGGUGCCACUAAGGAGCCAACAGUGGAUAAUUUUGUCAACAUUUCAAUGGCAUACAUUAAAAGGGCAGCCUGUAAUUGUUUGCCUUGCCUCCAUCUUCCUUGCCACCAAGGGGUUGUAGACUGAUGCCCUAGUCCUCCUGUUUAGGUACAACCAUGCAGUUAGGCCAGUCUAUUGAA